AACGAACGCUGGCGGCGUGGAUAAGACAUGCAAGUCGAACGCUUAUUUCGGUGUAGCAAUACAUCGGAGUAGGAAUGGCGCAAGGGUGCGUAACACGUGGGUAAUUUGCCGUGAAGUCCGGGAUAACUUGCUGAAAGGCGAGCUAAUACCGGAUGUGGAAAUUGGAAGGCAUCUUUUGAUUUCUGAAGUUGGGGACCGCAAGGCCUGACGCUUUACGAUAAGCCCGCGGCCUAUCAGCUAGUUGGUGAGGUAACGGCUCACCAAGGCGACGACGCGUAGCCGGACUGAGAGGUUGGCCGGCCACAUUGGGACUGAGACACUG
rnacentral:rRNA from 1 species